GACGAACGCUGGCGGCGUGCUUAACACAUGCAAGUCGAACGGAAAGGCCCUGCUUUUGUGGGGUGCUCGAGUGGCUAACGGGUGAGUAACACGUGAGUAACCUGCCCUUGACUUUGGGAUAACUUCAGGAAACUGGGGCUAAUACCUGAUAGGAGCUCCUGCUGCAUGGUGGGGGUUGGAAAGUUUCGGCGGUUGGGGAUGGACUCGCGGCUUAUCAGCUUGUUGGUGGGGUAGUGGCUUACCAAGGCUUUGACGGGUAGCCGGCCUGAGAGGGUGACCGGCCACAUUGGGACUGAGAAACGGCCCAGACUCAUACGGGAGGCAGCAGUGGGGAAUAUUGCACAAUGGGCGGAAGCCUGAAGCAGCAACGCCGCGUGCGGGAUGACGGCCUUCGGGUUGUAAACCGCUUUCGCCUGUGACGAAGAGUGAGUGACGGUAAUGGGUAAAGAAGCACCGGCUAACUACGUG
rnacentral:rRNA from 1 species